rnacentral:lncRNA from 1 species
CUAAGUACCAAAUCUUCACAAUUCACUUGAUCCUUUUGUUGAUGGCAGGAUAUAUAAAUUUUGUAGAGCAGUUGAAAGUGAACUGAAUUUCUAAUAAGUUUUUAGCACUUUGAUAUCUUUAUCACUCUGGAAGCAUUAACAGAACAGGGCUCUUUAUAUGGCGUCUUUUCCUAGGUCACCUUCAAACAAAGUUGCUCUUCCGAGCACUGAAGCAAAGCAUGUCCUGGCUCAAAAGGCCCUCAUUUAAAACCACAGCUACAGUCCGGUCUCAUGAAGAUGCUCGGCUGCUUGAGCGACCUUUCUUUAUAUUUCAUAAGUUCAUCUUUGCCUCAAAGACUGGAAAAACAAAACAGGAUUCAGAGCUUACCAGAGUGGAGAGGGUGUGGACACUAUCCAGACUUCCACUUGUGGAUCCACAAAGGACAUUCCUAACAAGAAUGAGCUUAUGAUAAAUGGAUCAGAUUCAAAUGAGUUAAGCAGGUCUCUGAAUACAUUAUUUCCUGAUAAAAAAAUUAAUUCCUCUCUGAUGUAAUAUUACACAUACAAACAUACACACACAGCCUCUCCCCAAACACACACACACA